rnacentral:rRNA from 1 species
UUGAUCCUGGCUCAAAGUGAACGCUGGCGGCGUGCUUAACACAUGCAAGUCGGACGGGAACGCGUAUAGUUUACUAUAUGGCGACGAGUGGCGCACGGGUGAGUAAAAUAUAGGGUAACGUGCCUCCAAGACUAGGAUAGCCAUUGGAAACGAUGAUUAAUACUAGAUAUGCCUUGAUAACAUAAGUUAAAGAGGGAAAAGAUUUAUUGCUUGGAGAUCGGUCUAUAACCUAUCAGCUAGUUGGUGAGGUAAGAGCUCACCGAGGCGAUGACGGGUAGCGGGUCUGACAGGAUGAGCCGCCACACUGGUACUGAGACACGGACCAUACUCCUACGGGAGGCAGCAGUGAGGAAUAUUGCACAAUGGGGGGAACCCUGAUGCAGCAACGCCGCGUGGAGGAAGAGGCAUUUCGGUGUGUAAACUCCUUUUAUGAGAGAAGAGAAUGACCGUAUCUCAUGAAUAAGCACCGGCUAACUCCGUGCCAGCAGCCGCGGUAAUACGGAGGGUGCAAGCGUUACUCGGAAUUACUGGGCGUAAAGGACGCGUACGCGGGGUGAGAAGUCACGUGUGAAAGGCUAUGGCUUAACCUUAGGACAGCACUUGAAACUUUCAUCCUAGAGUAUGGAAGGAGCACAUGGAAUUAGUAGUGUACGGGUAAAAUCCGUAGAUAUUACUAGGAAUACCCAAAGCCUAGGCGAUCUGCUGGGACAUAACUGACGCUAUUGCGUGAACGCGUGGGCAGCGCACCAGACUAGAUACCCUGGUAGUUCGCUCCUUAAACAAUGAACUUUAGUUAUCUGGUAUGCGUGUCAUUUCGGCGAAGCAGUAAUACGCAUUAAGUGUUCCGCCUGGGGAGUACAUUCCCAAGAUUAAAACUCAAGGGAAUAGACGGGGACCCGCACAAGUGGUGGAGCAUGUGGUUUAAUUCGAAGAUACGCGAAGAACCUUAACUGGCCUUGACAUUGAUAGAAGAUAACAGAGAUGUUGUUGUACCUUUUAUUAGGAGCUAGAAAACACGUGUUGCAUGUCUGUCGUCAGCUCGUGUCGUGAGAUGUUGGGUUAAGUCCCGCAACGAGCGCAACCCUCGUUUUUAGUUGCCAGCAGGUAGAGCUGGGCACUUUAAGGAGACUGCCUUCGUAAGGAGGAGGAAGGUGAGGACGACGUCAAGUCAUCAUGGCCCUUACGGCCAGGGCUACACACGUGCUACAAUGGGGCGUACAGAGGGUGAGCGAUACCGCGAGGUGGAGCUAAUCUUAAAAGCGUUUCUCAGUUCGGAUUGUUCUCUGCAACUUGAGAGCAUGAAGUUGGAAUCACUAGUAAUUGUAGAUCAGCAAUGCUACGGUGAAUACGUUCCCGGGUCUUGUACUCCCCGCCCGUCACCCCAUGGGAGUUGAUUUCACCCGAAAUUAGGAUCCCAACCAUAAAGGGGGCUACUACUUACGGUGGAAUUAGCGACUGGGGUGAAGUCGUAACAA